UGGGGAAUAUUGCACAAUGGAGGAAACUCUGAUGCAGCGACGCCGCGUGAAUGAUGAAGGCCUUCGGGUUGUAAAGUUCUGUCCUUGGGGAAGAUAAUGACGGUACCCAAGGAGGAAGCCCCGGCUAACUACGUGCCAGCAGCCGCGGUAAUACGUAGGGGGCGAGCGUUGUCCGGAAUUAUUGGGCGUGAAGGGUUCGCAGGCGGUCUGAUAAGUCAGAUGUGAAAGGCGUAGGCUUAACCUAUGUAAGCAUUUGAAACUGUCAGACUUGAGUUAAGGAGAGGAAAGUGGAAUUCCUAGUGUAGCGGUGAAAUGCGUAGAUAUUAGGAGGAAUACCAGUGGCGAAGGCGACUUUCUGGACUUAAACUGACGCUGAGGAACGAAAGCGUGGGGAGCAAACAG
rnacentral:rRNA from 1 species